CUUCAUUAGCAUUGUGAUGACUUAUUAAUGUAAUACAUCUUAACAUAAAAGUAGGAUUGUCCAAAUGUUACCUAAACAUUUGUUCUGACCAAUCCGUAUUCCUUAGUACACUUCUUCAGCUAAGUAAACUAAACUAAAAUAAACAUUGGGUCAUACUGCACAGAAACUCUUAUUCCUAGUCUGUGUCUAACAAACUCAGGG